UCUGCCUGGGUACAUGUGUGUAGCUUAUACCUUUGAGUCCAGAAAGUUGUAACCAUUAAAAAUAUCCUUUUCAUUUUGCAAGAACUCUGCACCUGGAAUUAAGUUCUUUGUAGGCAAAUCUCUUUAUGGCGAGUGUAUUAUUUGCUAUAGAAUAUUUAACUUUCAGAGGCAGUCUGAAAAAUCCCAUUCCAAAAGAAAAGCUCCAUAUGCAUUACUAACAUUUCUGACAGUCUUUGACCUAAAGAGAAGAGGCCAAAAAAAUCUGAAAAGGUAUCCCAAGUGAAAAGAAACCAAUGCAUUUAUUUCUACUUGAGUCUUAGAGCAUAAAGAUGUGUCAGGAUGUUGUGUGUGCAUAUCUGCAUGUUAAAAGAUAAUCCAUUGGCAAGUGCAGGCUAUAUAUAAAUACAAAUGAUAAUGAUCUUAUAUCCCCAGACAAAAGCUUUACUUUGUUAGAGCUGAGGUUGCAGAUGGAUGCCAAUUAAUUUUUUAAUGCAUUGUGGUUACUAAGUCAUAUAUAGGAACACAUAGAAGGUUUUCCUUAGUGAUCCUUAAAUAUGCAUCAUUAAAAGGAGGCUUCUUAAACUUUUAUUAGGGCUAUUUCACAUUAUAUCCCAUCAAAUCUUGAGUUUGUAGUUUGAUACAGUGCUGAAAUUAAACAUCAAACCUCAGGAUAUCAUAAGAUGGAAAAGAACACAGUUAAAAGUGGAAUCAUUGCAUUAUACAGUGAUACCUUGAGUUACUUCUUGUUUACUUUUUGGAAGGAGAGCAAUGACCAAUCUUGAUAAAAUAGUUAAGAGUAGAGACAUCACACUGGCAAUGAAGAUCCACAUAGUUAAAACAAUGGUAUUCCCCGUAGUAACCUAUGGAUGCGAGAGCUGGACCAUAAAGAAGGCUGAGAGAAGGAAGAUAGACGCUUUUGCACUGUGGUAUUGGAGGAAAAUUCUGAGAGUGCCUUGGACCACAAGAAGAUCCAACCAGUUCAUACUCCAAGAAAUAAAGCCUGACUACUCACUGGAGGGAAGGAUAUUAGAGGCUAAGAUGAAGUACUUUGGCCACAUAAUGAGAAGACAGGAAAGCUUGGAGAAUAUAAUGAUGAAGGGGUCAACCAAGGGCAAGAUUGAUGGAUGUUAUCUUUGAAGUGACUGGCUUGACCUUGAAGGAGCGGGGGGGGUGACAAUGGCCGACAGGAAGCUCUGGUGUGGCCUGGUCCAUGAGGUCAUGAAAAGUCAGAAGUGACUGAAUGAAUAAACAACACCUGAGUUAAGAGUUUAAUUCAUUCUGUGACCAAGCUCUUAACUUAAAUUGCCCCAAUUUUUGUUCUUAAAUAAGAAAAUGUGUUUUUUAUAAAUAACAAAUAAUGUAUUUUUUAAAAACCUGCACAUUCACAUGGUACAAUAAAAAUUAACUUUUAAAUGGUAGGAGUGCAGAUGUCAAAACCUGGAAGCUCUUAGAAUAAAAGCACACUCACAAAGGGAAAUCCUUGGAUACAGCUUUAUUUUCCUUCUUACCACUGGCAAUAGAAAGACAGCUCUGAAUAGUUCCCGCCAAUUUCGGUGUAUAUCAUUCUGCUAACCCAUGACCCCUCCCACUAGCUACAUUCAAUUCCCACCAGCAUCCUACAGUUUCUGUUUCCCCCAGUCCAGAUGGCCCUUAUCUCAUAUGCACUCCUAUCCAUUCUCCCAGCCUCCCCCUCUCAACAGCCAGGGCAUGGGGUGGACGGAGCAGCUUGUUCCAAGCUGCUACAGACACAUUCUGACAGCAGAGUAGUGGCCAGGAAGCACAUUUGAUGUAACAAGAUGUGUGUUGGCCACUGUAACAGCAAGGCAAAACCUGCACAUUCACAUGGAACAAAAAAAAAAGAUCAACUGUUAAAUUGUAGAAGCACAAAGUUGUUGCAAGGAAGCACAAAGUGAAGAGGCAGAAGCAUCAUUUUCUUCAUAUUGCACUCAUUCCAGCCACCCUCCCUCUCUUGCUCUUUCUCCCUCUUUCUUCAUGAAGCCAAACAUAACAAGAAUAAAAAAACCACACAAAAUCAACUAACCCAAAGUUUCUCAAAGUGGGCAAGAGAAAGUGGGCACAAAUCUCCCAAAGCCAACAAGAGCAGAUAGCAUUCUCCCAAUGUUGCAGAUAUUGCCCGAAUAAAGAUCAUUUUUCAGAUAAUUUAAAAGACCUGCAAAGUUUCACCCAUUGUAAUGACAUUCUAUGGGUGUGGGAAUUUUACCCCUUCUAUAGCUUGCUCAGACAUGCUUGUUUCAGCUCCACCCACUAGGGAUUUCACAGACUACUCUGAAAUAUAUCUUUGGCAGUGGCUGAGGGAAGCAUUACAGUUUUCUGGGAGCUGCUGACCUCCAUCUCCUCUCUGUCCUGUUGACCAACUCUUCAUCCUCACUAUCUAAGCUGGCCAUGACAGUCCUCUCCAUCUUCUCACCAGGUUUAAUGUUCACAGCUUGGGCACAGGAAAAUGAAGCAGAGAAAAGUUAUGCCCAUGACUUGCUCGUGCCACCACACGCCUUCACGGUAUCACAGCCACAGCACUAGUGACCUAUUGCACCAGUGGCAACACUGGAACAAUGUGCUUUUAGGAGCUAUUCAUGGGUUUCCCCUGUGAAUUAAAAGAUAUGGCCAAACAAUGGGAGGAAAUGUGAAAUGCCACCACUAGUAUGCAUUGACAUUGUACAAUAAGCAGCAUGAUCAUAUGCUGUUAAACAACUGCUAAUGUGCACCCCAGCCCUCAUGUGAUAAUUUCCUAUAUAUCCAGUACAUUGUGUACAGGAGUCUCCUGCAGCCGGGUGCCUCCCAGAUGUUUUAGACUACAAGUCUCACCACACCCACCCAUUGACUAUCCUGGGUGAAACCCUUGUGAAAUGUAAUCCAAACGACUGGGUGGGCAUUGGGGAAGGCUGAUACCUAGCUCUCCUUGCAUUAGCGAGGAUUUGUGAGUCAAGUUAAAUAUAAGCCUUCCUUGUAUUAUGUGUUGGACUACAGUUCUGGAGACCAGGGUUCAGUAGGUGACCUUGAGUGAGUCACACACUUUCUCCCCCAGAAAACCCUGUGAAGGGUUUGCCUACAACAUGAAGGAACACAACAACAACAGCCAGUGGAAUUACAUUCAUUCUCAAUCAAUUUCCAAACUGUUGUCAUUGUGUUAGCUAGGAAGAAUUCAAUUCCCUUGACUCUGUAGGUGCGGGAAUAGGAGCGGUUUAAAUAAAAUGGACCGGGUGCCAGAAGGAUACAUGGCGACCUCUCAACACUGGGAGCCAUGGUCCACCUCUAGAUAAUGCACACAUUGUGCUAGCCACAAACCUGUUUCUUCCCAUUUCAAAAGCCCUUUUUUCCUCGAUGUGUGCUGUAUUUUUUAAAGGCUCCUUUGGUAAUGGCAAAGCCUUUGGUAGCAGUGUGUAUGAGUAAACACUCUGUACAAGUCAGGUACAGAGGUGUACGUUUCUGUGAAACUGCCCACUUCAGUUUCCCCCUUAUCAAAUAAAUUAAAGGUGUUUCAUCUGUACUUAUAAGUACAUCAUUACUUCUAAGUGCUAUAUCAUCAUUAUCAAAGUGUUCUCACACCAUCACAGAAAGACCUUGACAUGCUGUAAAUAACUUUGCCUCUUGCUUUGAUGCUACACAGACUCUUGCAAUUGUGUUUAUUGUCUGCGGGCAUUAUGGAUGCCUAAUGUGGAAGAACUGGAGAGUGCAUACUCCAAAUGAAUAGGUUUACAUUCUGUUUCUAUUCAAGUCAGAUCUCUGUCUCCGAUAAUGUUUGAUACAUCUUUUCAGAGAUGGGGGUGGAGAAUGAAAAAAAGGCUUUGAGAGUGUUGGUGGAGGGGAUACAUGAGGGAAUGAAUGUGGAAAAGAAACCCUUGAGACCCUUACAUUUCUGGUAGUUUAUUUUCCUUUUUUAUACUUCAGUAAAUGGAGAGGAAGCGGAAGGUGUGUGGAAUUAAGUGGCGUUUGAAUCUGAAUAGAUUCAGAACAUUGUUUUGGGGACAAAAUUCUCCAUGGAUGUGUUAAAAUCAUAUCUCUCAAAUUGGUCAUAGCAACCACACUUUGAAGGUAUUUAACAUUGAUGCUUAGAGUGGACUAAGGAUAUUUCUGAAGACUGUUUAUUUCUUCUAUUAGUGCCCUUUGAGACCUCUUUUUUCUAAAGCAAAGGUUCAGACUUGGCGUGUCUUCACCUGAAUGUACCCUAAUUCCAGAGACAUAGGUGAUAUGGUCUGUUGUCUGUUUUAAAGUCAUUUUUGACUUGUGAAACCCUAUCAAAGGGUAUCCUUAGUACAUUCUGAAGCCGAGAUUCUGGGACUUGCCCAAAGUCAUUAAAUAGGUUUCCAUGGCAAAGCAGGGAUUUGAAUCCUGGCCUCCUUUUGUCCUAGUCCAAUACUCCUACCUUUACAACAUGCUGACCUUCAAUGAUAGGGUAGCACCUCCGAUCCCUCUACUCUUCAACUUCACCUUUAUUUCCCCCUGCUUUCCCAGAUUAACUUUGCUGCUGGUUGUAUUGAUUUGACUGAGUUGGCUUAAGCAACUGUUGAACUCAUUGCUAAUUUAAACAACAAAUGUUGAUUUUUUAUUAUUAUUAUUAUCAGUGUUUUGUGUUCUUUCUCAUUUUCAAUCUCUCUCUCUCUCCCUUUCUGUAGAAUUGAAAAAAGCAAGGUAAGAAGUGACCUCUAUCAUAUACUGUCCAUAACAAUUGCUUCAUGGUGAUUCAAUAUGAGAGCAACCCACCAGAUUGUAUUUAUACUGUAUAUAAAAUACAUCAAAAUAAAUUAUGGUUCUACGUGUGGAAGUUUUACAGUACUCUCUGGCAUCCUAGAAAUUAUGGGACUAAAGGAUUUUUUUUUUGGCAGAAUAAAAUUCUUAUUUGGGUGUGAUCCCCUUGUUUCACUCCCUGGCUUAGUUAAAUCCCAGGAAAAAUUUCAAAUGCAUAUGGGUGCAUAUUUUCUAAUGUACACAUCCCAAAGAUAUCAUUCAUUCAAUAAGGUUCACUAUUAUCCCUGGUUCUAUGUUUCCACAUGAAGUUCUGGAACACAUCCCACAUGGAUACAUGUGGUGUACUGUAUCUUAGGGUGCAUCUACAUUGUAGAAUUAAUGCAGUUUGACACAACUUUAACUGCUAUGGCUCUAAGCUAUGGAAUCAUGAGAACUGUAGUUUUACAUGGCUUUUAGUCUUCUCUGCGACCAUACCUCGAGAAGUCUGAUCUGACCAUGGUGGUCCAUGCCUUAGUUACCUCUAGACUGGACUAUUGCAAUGCGCUCUACGUGGGGCUGCCUUUGAAGACGGCCCGGAAAUUACAACUAGUACAGCGAUCGGCAGCCAGGCUUCUAACUGGAGCAAAUUACAGGGCACAUUCAACGCCUCUGUUUAAGGAGCUCCACUGGCUGCCGUUUACUUUCCGGGCCCAAUUCAAGGUGCAGGUUAUCACCUACAAAGCCCUAAACGGUUUGGGACCCACCUACCUUAGAGACCGCAUCUCCCCCUACGAACCCGCACGUUCUCUUCGCUCGUCGGGGGAGGCCCUCCUCUUGCUCCCACCACCCUCGCAGUCACAGUUGGUGGGGACGAGAGAGAGGGCCUUCUCCGUCGUGGCCCCCCGGCUUUGGAACUCGCUUCCUAGAGAGAUCAGGCAGGCCCCCACCCUCCUCUCCUUCCGUAGGAGCUUAAAAACCUGGCUCUUUCAAAAGGCCUUUGAUACUUAAUCUGGUGUUGGACUGAUCGAUCUGCCCAUUUUAUAAUAGCCCCGUUCUUGAGGUGUUGCCAAUGCUAUAUUGCACUUUGUCCAUUUUAACUGUGAAAUUAUCUUCCCCAUUUCGGCCCAUUUCGGCACAUGUUGCACAUUGCCUGGGUUCUAUGAAUUAGUCUCCAGUGUUAAUAUUGUAUGUUUUAUGUUGAUUUUAACGAUUGUUUUUACUGUAAUUGAUGUUUUUAUUGGAUGACUGUUUUAUUGCUGUGUUUUGAUAUUUGAUUGUUUUAUCGGGCAAGGCCCCAUGUAAGACGCCCCGAGUCCCUUCGGGGAGAUGGGGCGGGGUAUAAAAAUAAAGUUAUUAUUAUUAUUAUUAUUAUUAUUAUUAUUAUUAUUAUUAUUAUUAUUAUUAUCUGUCAAGGAGUGCUUGUGCCUCACAAAACUAUGACUUCCAUGAUUCCAUAGCAUUGAGCCAUGACAGUUAGUGGUGUCAAUCUGCAUUCAUUCUACAAUGCAGAUGUACCAUUAUUCGGUCCCAAAGCCAAUAUUAUUCACAACUGCAUGUCCAUUAAAAUGGGGGGGGGGGAGGGGGGAGAAAUGUAAAACUUCAGCAAGUUUUAUGGUGGACACCAAAGGCAUGGUUCUCCAUAUUCAAACACAAUAAAUAUAGUUCAAACUGAAACCAUGUUGUCAUGUUGGUUUUCAUUAUGAAAAGAUUCAAUAUAAAUAUUAACUUUCCAAACAGCACAGUACACAAUACCUUCUUAAGCUAGUUUUUUGAAGACUGGUUGUGUAUACAUUUGGCAUCAUGUCUGUGUCUUGCUAAAACACUACAUACUUUCUUUAACCACCAAAGUUAAACCAUUUUCCCAUGGGUUGAUUCCAUCAUUUUUUAUUGGGUAGGAGGAGAAAGAACCUGGAUUUUAUGGCUCAUGCACCCUAAUAUAAUGGAGCAACUUCACUUGUUCACUUGUCCUGUCCUUCUCAUUCUCAUCAGUGCAAUAGUGCUACUGACAUUCUGAUCUUCCAUUCAUUUCAGGAAAGCUUUCACCAAAGAUGUACCCAGCUAAUUCUGUACAUUUUGCUCAAUAUCAAGGGGAAAGAGGUGCACAGGUGGCUGUUUCAUUCACUGCAAAUAACCUUACAGCUGCAUGAAUCCGUGAAGACAAAUAAAUGCCCAGCCAGUUCAUAAGAAGCCAGUCAAGGAUUCAACAAUAAUUGAAUAAUGAAUGUCCAGAAGAGAGAUGAUAUGUGAUUGGGAUCUCCUAAUAAUAACAGAAGAGCAUUGACAAUUCAUACUGGUUUGUGAGACCAUAAGAAGCUUUGCCUCAUCUCUAAUCUCCGUUCAGUGACUCCAGGGCAAACAUGCUUGUCAUGACUCCCCUGGAGGCAGCCACGUGCACUCACUGUUGUGAACUCACUGUUGUGGUGGGUUGGAGUCUAACCAGGACAUGAUCACAUCAGCCCUGGUGGACCAUCAUUUUAUCAUCCAUGUCAUAGGCCCCACGCCCAGACAACCACAGAGCUCUAUGAAGGCCCCUGACCAUCUUGAGAACUCCAUGCUGACAUCAUGACCUUUUUUCUGGUCACAUGGACACCUCUACUGAUAUUAACAUGUGGCAUCUGCAACAGCCAGUAGCUCACUGGGGCCUUGGCUGAGGUUUUAACAAGCUCUGGUCCCUUUCAUUUGUCAUGCCUCUCCUGGAGAGUUCAUUUUCCUCAGAAGACAAAAAAAGACCUAUGGCAGCUGAGUCCUCCUUCAGCAGUUUAUCCUGAUGAACAGCCAGGUCCUCCUGGAGUUCAACAAGAAGCAGCGCUGGAUGAGAGAUCUAGAAUCAUAGAGUUGGAAGAGAUCACAGCAGCCAUCCAGUCCAACUCCCUGCCAUGCAAGAAAAUACAAUCCAAGUUCUCAUGAGUGAAGAUAAAUUAACCAUUUUAUGCAGGACUCUCAGACACAGGAAAAGGUGACAUGUCCACACCCCUGAGAUAUUAUUUUUAAAUGCUGUUGGAUCAAGCUGAGGUUCAAUUAAAGACAUAUGGUGUCUACCUGGAUAGUAGUGAGAACAACUUUUCUCAUGAUUACCAAAACCUGCUGCUGAAUGCCUUCAAUUUGACCUUCUGAUUGCUCACCAGCUUUUUUAUUUGGCUUCUCUUCUUGGAUAUUGUUUUGAUUUAUAAUUUAUUGACCUCAGAUCAUUGACUAUUGAAGAAUUCAUGCCUCGGCUUUUGAAUUCUUGUUAGAGCGGGAUACUAUCCGUCACAAGUAUACUACAUUGUCAUCUGGGAUUGUAUUAACUACAGAUAGCAUGCUACAAAAAAAAAAGACUAAGGCUGCAUAGCAUAGGCCUUCCAUCCUAGUCUGUGUGGUGUAGCAAACUCCCAAGCUCUGAUAUGUAUGUGUAUGUAUAUCUUCCACACGCUCACACACGCCUGGCUGGUUUCCCCAUUGUAUUUGUCACUGAUGUGCUAAUGAAUGGUUUCCAAAAUUGAGUUCAUUUAUUGACCAACAAGUGUAUAAUCAACAUUUUAAUGUAAAGGGUAAAUCCACCCUAUUUAUAUUCCUUAAUUUCUGGUUGAUUAUAUAGGCAUAUUUUUCCAUUCAGCCUAGUAUUGUCUGUUUUGACUGGUAGUAGAACUCCAGGGCCUCAGAAAGGGUUCUUUGAACUAUAGAUUUCAGGCACUGAAUCCAAGGCCUUUGAAAAGCAGAAAGUAUUCUAUCAUUGUUUUGGUUUUUCUUAGAGUCAACUGUUCUGGGGAUGCCUUUACCUAGGCAUAGUGCGGUUGUCUAUAUCCAAAGUGUUUCUUGCUUAAGUUUUAAUAAUUACUUGGUUUUUAACUAUGCAAGAGCUCAUUCAUAUAGUAUUUUAUGUAGUAAUUUAAGGGUGCAUCUCGCCAUUGCAUUAAGUAGUAUUUUAAUGAUUUAUGUAGUAUUUUAAUGGUGUAUUUUGUAUUAUAUUUAAUAAUCUAUUUUUUGUGUAUUCAUUUGUUUGUCCUGUAUGUGAAAGACCUAUGGUCAAAGCAUUAAACUACCACUGGUUUUUCUUAGUA